rnacentral:lncRNA from 1 species
CAUCAUCCACUUUGUCGUCACUUGCAAAGACCGCCACCUGAAACACGACAAAAAAGAAGUUUCGGAUUAAAGGUAAUCAUUCAAACAUUCCUAUUCAAAAGCAUUCACACAACAUUCAUGCAUACACAUUGUUGUGAUUAUACCCCCUAAACUACCUUCGAAUCUAAUGUUUAUUGUGACUAAUCAAGUGAACGUUUUAUUUGAGUAAACAACCAACAAAUCAAUAAAAUAAGUUUCAAAAAUUAACUAAAGUUGUUGGAAAAUAUGCUAGCAAAGAAACCUAUAACCAUCUUUCAUUAAGGAUCCAAAAAGCUAUGAAACUCAUAAUAUAAUCGAAUUAAAAUACAAAUUAUUUGACUAAACAAGGUUGCUGAAUUUUUUUUAAACAUUAGAAAAAACCAAGGUUUUUUAACACAUAACUUUGUUAAAACACUUAGACUACUACUACAAUCUCAGUAACAAAACUAAUCAAGUUUCCAAACGUAGACUAGACUGAAUUUUUUCCAAACGUGAUUUCUUUUUACCUUUAUUUCUCCGUCGCUGCCACCAGUUUUCUCCCUUAACAAAGAAAUCAACAACAUAACAAAUUAAAUCCACAAAAUAAAAUAAAAAGAAUAUUUCAAUCCCUAGAUCUACAAAUCGGACCUUGCAUGUCAGCGAAGGACUCACCGGAACCUCCUCCCUUGACAUACAAGUUUGGAUCUGGACGAAAUCAGAAAAAAAACAAAAAAGAGAGGUUCCAAAGAUGUCUUUUACUUUUUUUCUCUUUCUUUUCGUUGAUGAUGGUCGAGAAAGAAGAGGUGAAGCAGAGGCGUUGGCGGCCGCUGUCGUCGUUAAAAAGCAGAGGAAGAUAGAGGCGGCGGAGGCAAUGGCUGAGAGGAAAAGAGGAAGAAAAGAGAAGGAAAAAAGAAGAGAAAGUGAGGGAAAGAAGAAAAAGAAAAGAAGGAAAGGGAGGCGGCGGCGGCCGCCGUCGUUAAAAGAGGAAAAAAAGAGGCGGCCAGAAGAGGAAAGGAAAGAGAAGAAAAGAAGAAAAAGAGGGAAAAAGUAAGAGCCGUGAUGACGAGACGGCAGGGACGGCCGGGAGAAGAGAGGAGGGGGAGAGUUAGAGAGAGGGAGGAAGUUUUAAAGAGAGGGUAGAGAGUUUAGGGAAGAGGAAAAGAAGAGAUAGUGGAAAUGUGU